ACUCCUACGGGAGGCAGCAGUGGGGAAUAUUGGACAAUGGGCGCAAGCCUGAUCCAGCCAUGCCGCGUGAGUGAUGAAGGCCCUAGGGUUGUAAAGCUCUUUCACCGGUGAAGAUAAUGACGGUAACCGGAGAAGAAGCCCCGGCUAACUUCGUGCCAGCAGCCGCGGUAAUACGAAGGGGGCUAGCGUUGUUCGGAUUUACUGGGCGUAAAGCGCACGUAGGCGGACUAUUAAGUCAGGGGUGAAAUCCCGGGGCUCAACCCCGGAACUGCCUUUGAUACUGGUAGUCUUGAGUUCGAUAGAGGUGAGUGGAAUUCCGAGUGUAGAGGUGAAAUUCGUAGAUAUUCGGAGGAACACCAGUGGCGAAGGCGGCUCACUGGCUCGAUACUGACGCUGAGGUGCGAAAGCGUGGGGAGCAAACAGGAUUAGAAACCCUAGUAGUCCCAUGAU
rnacentral:rRNA from 1 species